AUUUACCAAUUUAAAAGCUCUUUGUAUUAUAAUGGUCUUUUUUCACAGACUGUGAUGAUGCAUUUCCACAGUUAUUAACAUGGUAAAUCUACCAAAGUUUGUGUUUAUAUAUAUGAAUGAUAAUUCCCCUGUUUGAUUCUAGCUAUUCAUAAAAUGCCUAAAAUAGCAUGACCCUAACAUAAGCCAUAUUUUAUUAAAUUUUUUAGUCACCAAAUAUAAUUGUGAAACUUUUCAGCAAUUUUAUAAUAUUCACUUAUAUAAGAAAACAUGAAAAAUGUUUAGAAUUAUUCUGAGUGCCCUUAUUGAGUAUUUAGGUAUUGAAUGUGAUGCUGGAGAUUGUAUAAUUAUUUUUCAAUUUUCUUCAGUAUAAAGUGUUUUAUCAUUCACAUUUUUGUGUUGAAAUAGAUUAGCCUAUCCCCUGUAUGUCACUGAUGCACUACUACAAAGAUGUGAGGACAAGAAAAUACACCUGCGAGUAGUCUUGGACAUUGCCUGUGUUGUUGCCUCACAUUUGCAGAAAUCAGGGGAGGGCAUAUCACACAACAUCUCCUUAGUCGUACCAGCAUUUCAUGUUUAUGGACACAAAUGGCCCUGCCAGAUCAAGUACAGUACCAGAUGGCUUGAUGGGUUUGGCCUCACAGACGGGGAAGGAAUGGAAAGGCUGUGGUCUUUCCUCCAAAGAUUUGCCAGAGUCACAAAGGAGAUGACUCCAUCUCAUCACUUUUGACCUACUGACUGAUGCCCUUUUUGCAUUAUGGACGGAGGAAAUCAACUGACCUAGAGGUGCAGCUCCUGCAAAGAGUAGACAAAGCAGAGAAAAUAUUGCUCAAGAAGAUAUCUCAUCUGUCAUCAGAGAGGCAUCAGUGUUGAUUUCUGAAGGAGACAUGGAGAAAUGGAAAAAAGCUAGCCCAACAGAAACCAAUAAACACUGUCUGUAGAUGGAAAAGGGACUACAUCAUCAGACUGAUUCAGUUCUACAAGUUCAAAUAUUAGAAUUGAGGACUCUGCUGAACAUUGAGAAAAACUACCGUAUUGGGAGAAGAUGGCAAGAGUCUGAUUCAAACUUCCAGUCUACCCUUAAAGAUGUGGACCAUGAGCUCAGAGUCCAACUGCAAGGCUAGAACUGAAUCAAGGGAGAGAGCAGUCGUCCUCCACCUGAGAAGAAUAUAUCCAGCUUUGCUUCAGAUGGGCAGGGCAUUGUCAUUAGACUCUCCAAGCAGGUAGCCAGCUCCAACAAUAGACUGAGACAGCAUUCAAUAGUCACCGCAGUUGAGCUUCUUACCUGCGACAAUUGAUUUUCAGGAAUCAUGUGAUCCCUCUUGGCAUGUCUACUUCUGCUUUGAUGACACUAUUGAAGAAGAUGAUGUUUCGAGGAGUCUAAAGGGAUUGAUGCCUUACAUAUGAAGACUCAUGCAAAAGCUGCUCUCAUUCAACGCUUCCAACAGCUGGAAAGAAAACUACAUCAAGCCAUUGUGAUGUUUCACCCACAUGUAUCAGACUUUGUUCCUGCAGACAACCCCCACUUGUGUCAGGCCCUCCCCAUGCCAAGCAUACAGACACUGGUAUACAAUGAUAAGAGUGAUAAUGAUGACAAUGUGGAUAACUAGCACUACAGAUUUUUUUUUACAUUUCUAGUCUGAUAUUGUAUUCUGUAAAAAGAAUGAUGUAAAAUGUAUAGUAUAUGUUGCAGCAUAUUAUAGAAACCUUUAUGGUGGUGUAAUAUAAUGUUCGCCUUACUUGUGCAAACAUGAUGUUUUACUAGAUCUGAUUUAUUAUUAAACGUAGGUACUGUUUUUAAGCACACAUAUUCACACUAGUCUGUGUGAGGACAAAAUUGUGUGUUUACCAUUGUGAUGUUACUUAUUUACUGUAAUGUACAAAUGUGGUCAAUGUG